GUGACUUUUAAAAAUCCCCUAAGGUUGGUUUUAAAGCAAUGCUGGACACAUAAACAAGAGAAGACACAACCCUCUAUGGUCUAUUAUAAAAAAAAAGAAAAGAAAAAAAACUAGAAAACUGUAAAAGUGCUUAUGUUGUUCAUGUUUAUAUAGUCAGAGUAAGACAUUUAAAUUCAUUAAGACUUACACAGCAGCAAAUGAAGCAGAGGUCAGGCUUUCUUCAGUGAUUCGAUGUGUAACUGUCUCAAGUGGUGUUGCAUCUCUGUGGGCUUUCUUGAUUUUACCAAACUGAUCCUCAACUUUGAAUCUUAGAUUACUUUUUUAAGCUUUUAUGCUUUUAUUGAGAGAGUAGGAGAGUCGAUAAAACAGGAAACUGGGAAGAGAGCAGGAUAUGACAUGUGGCAGUAAACUGUAGGCUGGAGCCGAACCUUCAAACAAGUGUAGGUAGUGAUUAAAA